rnacentral:rRNA from 1 species
UACGGGGGGGGCAAGCGUUGUUCGGAAUUACUGGGCGUAAAGGGCUUGUAGGUGGCCAACUAAGUCAGACGUGAAAUCCCUCAGCUUAACUGGGGAACUGCGUCUGAUACUGGAUGGCUUGAGUUUGGGAGAGGGAUGCGGAAUUCCAGGUGUAGCGGUGAAAUGCGUGGAUAUCUGGAGGAACACCGGUGGCGAAGGCGGCAUCCUGGACCAACACUGACACUGAGGAGCGAAAGCCAGGGGAGCAAACGGG